AGUGCUUGUAGUAUGAGGCUGGCAGGGAUGGAGGACACGGCGGAGCUGCUGGAGAAGAAGCUAGCGUCGGAAAUUUCCAAGAUGAGCUUAGAGGAGGCACUCACUCUCGCUCCUGUUUUCAGCCAUUACCUCAAUUUGAUGGGCAUUGCUGAAGUUCAUCACAGGGUUUGUAGACAAAAGAAUGUAAAUCUUGUGAUGGUAUUUUUAUUCAGCUUCUGCAGCGUGGUGUUUCCCCAGACCAACUUUACGAUACUGUUUGCAAGCAGGAGGUCGAGAUUGUUCUUACUGCACAUCCUACACAAAUUAAUCGCGGAACCUUACAAUACAAACAUAUCAGACUUUCUCAUCUUUUAAAUUUAAGAUACCGACCUGAUCUUACUGGUGAAGACAGAGAUAUGGUGAUUGAAGAUCUGGUGCGAGAGAUAACUUCUGUAUGGCAAACAGAUGAGCAUAGGCACCAUAAACCCACACCAGUUGAUGAAGCUGGGGUAGGUAAACCACUUCAACAUUAGAUUCAUUGAUAUUCACAUGCUUUGGCUCUUUGAAAUCGUGUGUAUCACUUACAGACAAAAUUUGUAAUUACAAUUGUUGCUGCUGUGCUAGCAUAGAUGCAAAUUUCUCAAAUUCUAAGCUUGCUCCAAUCUGAAUUAUAUAUGUAGACAAUAUCAUGCUAUUGUCUUAAAUGCCUUUCUCAUCAAAUAAUUUAAUUGACUUCAUAGGAAAGAAUGUUAAAAUGCAAUUAGAAACUCAUUUGUUCAGACGACCAUACAUGUUAUUUAGGGGGUUAAGGUCAACAUGUCUUUUAGCUUAAUACUUUUUGAUGUGGUUUUGAUAUCAUAUUAUGUUGUACUGGAAAUCAAGUUGUUAGUUCUUAAUUCUUUCAAUUGCUUCCAGCAAUGCACUUCUGUAUUUCAUCAUGCACUUCUGAACAGUAAGGAAUGUGAUUACGGAAACUGCUCUCCUAUACUCUCCCUUCUCAGGAAUAUAGAGAAGCAAAUGUGAGAAUAUGUUAAUUAGUUUUUCUGUUUCACCUGAGUUCUGUACCAAUUGUUGAACCAAUCAAACUAAUAGUAAUAUAGUGUGCAACAGAAUUGGUAUAUGAUAGGAAGAGAGAAGACCAUUAUAGUAGUGCUGAUUAAUUGAAAUAAAAAUUGCUAAGCUGUGUCCAAUUUUUAUGUGUGAUACGUUGGUGAUCUCUUAUUUAGGAGGAUUGUUGGGUUGGGUGUCUCUAAUUUAGGCUUUAUGUGCAUUUCUAAUUGAAGAUGUUGAGCGGCUCUAGUCUAGCUUACUGAUUCUCUGAUUUUGAGUGGAUGCCUAGAAUUAAUCACCUUGAUGAUCAUUUGUACAAUUUCUUUCCUGGUAGGACUGGUCAUAAGUGAGAUUUUGGCUUCGUCCUAUCAGACUGAAGGACGCCUACAGUUCUUCUCUUUGUGUGAUUAAUGAAGGGGGAGAUGUUAAAAAUUAAAUGUGGUUUCCUUUAUCUGCCCAAAGCUAAAAGCCUGGCAUAUUUGUAAUCUUGCAGCUUGUAGGAAAGGGUGCUUUAGCUGAAGGAGACAAGAUCACCUUAGAAACUGCAAAGUUGUUGAGAGAGAAUUCUCUCGCGCAGGAUGCAUUUACUCCGGUGGACAGAUAUGAGAAAUUCUGCCCUUUCUACAAGUCUGUUUGGAUGAUGCAGAAUAUCAUCCAUUUCUUUAAUUUAGCAAAUCAGGUGAACUAUUCUGUUCAAAUCCUUUCUUGUAUGACCUACCAUUAUGUUUGAAGAAUUCAUGUCUAUUUAGGUUGAAGCAUUUUAGGGCAAGGAAAACAGAUAAUAUUGUCUUUCCCGGUCUUCUUUCUAGGAACCAAUCCCAGAAAGGUGCAACUUCAUUAGAUGUGACCCAAAGGAUUUCAUUGCCAUAAUACCGAAAAGGUGGCCGUUGUGACACAAUUUAUCAUUCUGAAGACCCAGUGCGGAUGAAAUCCAAGUCUGAACAUUAUAGCCUCCAAGAAACACCACUCAACCCUAUCAUAAGCCUUGGCCAUGUCAACUUUAUUAGAUGUUUAAUUAGAUAAGUGAAGGUAUCAAUGUCUACAGGCUAUAGAGAGAGCAGUUGAUAUGGAUGAUGAAAAGAUCAAUUAUAGUAUAAUUGAGCACCGUAUGGGAGAUCUCUUUUACCAUCUAAUGUCUAAAAAUUUGAGGAACCUGCUGAAGGCGAACAAGCUCUUGUGGCAAAAUUUAAGAAGCUACACGAUUACUUGACGAUUUGAGGAUGUAACUCGAUGAUUGGACUUAGACAUUUUCUAGAUGGUUCUAGUUGCUGUUAUAAAUUGCAUGGUGAUGACAAUUGGAGUUACUGUGGUUUUUGUUGUGCAUGAAAAAAGGCAGUGUUAGGUUUUUGUGACGCCAUUUUUGCUUUACUUAUGUGGCGGUUGCUCUAGUUUGGAUGUGUAGUUACAAUGAUUGUAUUCAUGUCACUCCCUUCAGGUUUUUACCCAGAAUAAGAGACUAGAUAUAUUUAAGCAAUACGGCAUUGAA